AGUCGUCCAGGUUGACGUUGGGCUCUUUGUGGAUGCUCUGACCGACCAGGAAGGCCAGUUUGUGGGCGUACUGACACGGUACAGGAACUCGCACAAUUCCCUUAAUGGGGGAAGAAAAAAAACAACAGAUAUACAGCAUAAGAGGUAUACUGAGAAUUAUGAUUGGAUGAAGGGGUGGAGUUUAGAGCUGCAGAUCGGUGUGAGAGUUUAGUUAACGAUGUGACUGGGAGGAAUUCAUGGACCAGUUGGGACUUACCUCGGACGUGCUUUGGAGUAUCGUUGCUAUGGCGAUAAAGGAUCGGUUCGGUAGAGGAGGGACUACAGAAAGAUCUACAGCUUCAGAGGAGGGAAUUUGGUGUUCCAGCCGCCUGGGAAGCCGUUCAGAAUGAUGGAGGGAAAGAGAUCAGACUCACCAGAACCCAGCUGGGUGUCCAUGAAGAGUGACCGGUCAAUGGGACGUCCAAUUUACUUCAGAGACAGAGACAGUUCUACUGAUGUGAGACCACAAAAAUCAAACAUCAGGAGAAAACAGCUGGACUCUAUAUUCAAGG